GCGCGUAGCGCGUGCAGGAACUCUGCUCGAGUGGGCGGGGCUUCGUUCUGAUGUACUUCCCCGAUAUCAGAGCGGGCCCGCACUCGGGCAGGGCUCUGUACGCACUCAACUCACUG
rfam:Corynebacterium glucuronolyticum ATCC 51866 genomic scaffold SCAFFOLD7, whole genome shotgun sequence.